UCUGCUCUAUUAAACAAUCGAGGGUGAAUUUAGACAUAGACUUAUUAGUAGAAGAAGCUCUCUCAACUAUUUGAAAUACACAAUUUAGACUACAUUAGAAAUUAUAGAAAAUAUAGUCCUUUAAUAUCUUUUUAAAUUGGUCGAGCCUUUAGCGUUGUUUUAUAUCGGCUGGUAUUAUAUAUUUUAACUCCUUCAUAAAACAUACUCUAUCACGCACUCCUAUUUCUGCGAAAUUGUAUUACAAUGUUUCUGGUAUGUCGUAUGUGUUUUCUGUUUCCUUUUCCCACUAUUUCUAUUCUUUUUCUUAAUUGUUCAGUUAACAAAUUUCUCAAGAUCAUGAAAAUACAUAGACACAUGUUGUAAUAUACUCUCAUUUCCCGAUUUUGCAUUACUUGCAAUUUAUUCAGCUGUGUCUCUCUCAUAUCCAUUAACAAUGUUACAAUAUUCUGUGCUAUGAUCGCUUUAUACGUGAUACAUUUAGUAGUUGCCAAUAUAUAAUUUCCUGUUCCAUUCAAAAAACUAGUUUUCUUACCUAUCUUUUUUAACAUACAAUCGCAAUAACCUUUAAAUCUAAGCUUACCAUCUAUUCCUAAGUAUUUCAUUAUCUCUACACGUUAUAUCUCGGUUUCAUCAAAGCAUUUCAAUAUAAUAUUUCCAUCCAGCUCUUUUCUUAUACUCCUAUAAUAUAUUCCGUCUUUUCUGCAUUCAUUCUCAAUUUAUAUAUAUUCUUCCAUUCUUCUACUGUAUUAAAUGCUUUAUUCAUUUCUGUCUCUAACUGUAUACUACUUUUUCCAAUAACAUAAAUUAAUGUAUUAUCCGUAAACAUUUUUAUACUAUAUCAUUCAGAGAAUAUUUCAAUGAAUGACAAGAGUCCCGAUACAAAUCCUUGGGGCACUCCAUAUUCUAUGUUAAUUAAUUCAGACCAUUUAUCGUUGAAACCAAUCUGCUGCGUUCUAUUAUUUAAAUCAUUCUAAAACAAUACCUCUAAAAUUAUAUUGAUAUAAAUUUUCUAUUAAUCUCUUUCUAUCUACUAUUUCAAACAUUCACUUAAGAUUCAUAGAAAUAACAUCCAUAAUUGUUCUCUAGCUAACUAUUAAUUUCCAUUCAUCAACAACAGUUUGAAUCCAACCAUUUCACACGAAUAUUGUUUUCUUACAUCUAAUCAAUGUUCCGUUAUAAUACCAUUAAAUUCAAAAUACAUUUAUAUUUGCUUCUUCAUCACUAAUUCUAACACUUUCUCAUAUAUUGGUAAUCGAUCUAUAAUAAUUUGCUUUUUAGCUUUUUCUAUUUGUGGAAUCGGUCAGUCUUCUGAAAUGAUAUUUGACUAAAAAAAAUAAGAAUUCCGAUGAUGAAAAGAAAACUCUCUUCUACGGAAAUGCAAUAUAUUCUAAUAAAUGAAAAGUAAAUUAAUAUUGGUACACUAGGAUGUAAUCGUUAUUCGACUGGUAGACGCUGACUACCUUUUUAGGACUUCUUUUCUUUUGUCCGAUCUUUGUCUUGACGUGAAACACUCGAUCGCUAUUCGGCUAUUUACAUUAUUGGGCUGCUGCCUUACAUUCCCCUUGCAUACGUUAUCACACUCGCAUCACACUCUCUAUUUCAUAUUUAUAUAAAUAUUUCAUAUUUACCAGUUCAACUCAGCGAUUCAUUUGCUCAAUUAUAAACUUUAUGAAAAUUGUGGCAACUCGGAUGAAAAAUGUUCUACAAUGUAUGCAAUUAAUCAGCUGGGAUUUUAUUUCCUUUCUACACUGCCUACAUAUCUGUAUCCCAAACCGCGAGAUAUCCAUUUCUCAUUGUUAAAUUUUUCCUUAUCAACUAUUAAUUCGUAUCACGUUAAACGUCAUCAACAACAGCAGUGUUGCUCGAUGAGUCAGUAAGAGAAUUCUUUAAAUUUUCGUCAUCGCUUCGAUUUUGUAGGAUUUGAUAAAAAGCCUAUUGCAGGAUGCCUAGUUGGUUUUGCAGGAUGCUAGACUGGCUAAUAGAAUGUUAAAUGACUGGAAUUCGACUGUGAUGUUGUCUUCGAUAAAAAAAAGUUAGGGAAGAAAUGGACUUGAUGGAAGAAGAAGCGAUGACUUCGAUAAUAGGAGACUCUGGUGGUUUUAGCCAUUUCAAACAUCCAUUGGAAUAUGAUGCUUCAUUCAAUAGAACUCUAGGUGGGAAUGGAUGACUGAUGCCAAGAAUCUGGUAUGGGAUGCUAUAGAUCUGUCCCAAAUAAUAUGAGUAGGGGAGGAUACUCCCAGGACAACCAGGGAGGUCAACAUAUGAGUACUGAGGCGGUUACAAAAUAUCAACUAUAUGGGCGGAUUCAAACUGUUUUGGAGACGUUAAAGUUAUAUUCCACCCAGGCAGUGGAUACUAUGGUAGAUAGCGGAGAGUAUUUGGUAGAUGAAAUCAAGAAUACCAGCUUUUAACUUAAAAGACAAGCUAGCGGUAGAAGCUUCUUGUUUAGAUCUAUUUUCUAAAUUGAAGAAGAGCGAUAAGAUACUGCAUGGCUAUGACCAAUGAAGGAGUUCGCAUUAAUAAGGAGAUACCGUUUUGUCAGUUAAGCGACGGAGAUGAUGGAAUCUGUAAUGAUCACCACAAAAGAUUGGGCAAAGGCUAUAAUCAAUAACCUAAAAGAAGUAUUGAGCUGGCAAAAGAAGAAGAUCAGAAAUGGAGAAAAUUCAGAUGUCUACGUGUAGGGAAGCUUCAUACAAUGAUAUUAAUUAUUGUAGCUACGAACGUGUAAACAUUAAAAAUAAAAUUUUGUGUUUAUCAACAAACCCCCUAAGUGAUAUUUU